GUUGGUGGCUCCUUUUUUGUGAAAGAGAUAUUUGAUUAGGGUUUUGACUGACCAAGUUGAUGGUUUCUAGGCCUAGAUUUCUUAGGUCUCAGCUUACUGGUUUGUUGUUUUGUCUCUUUAGGUUUGUUUUGUCUAUCAGGUUUGGGCUUAGCUUUUUCCUU
rnacentral:lncRNA from 1 species